GAUAUAUACCAUGACAAAAACCUCCUCACCAAAUACACUCACUUCUGCUUUCAGAUGUUCUGAAUAUAGACACUAACUGAAUGUCAAGUCAUCCUGAACCAGUGUGUCUGCAGUAGGAGAACAUUCCAUGCUUGUGUUUUACACAAAACCCUUCACACAUUUACUAGAAUGUUGUCAUUAACAAUUACACCUAGUUGUCACAAAGCAUGAAUGAUAAAGUGAUAUUCCAGAAGGUUCAGUCCUAACAGAAGACUCCAUGUAUCAGAUAACCUCCAUGAUAGUCAGUCCCCUGGUUUACAGUAGAGACAUAUUACAUCAACAGUCAUUUAGUGAUGUGCUGUUAGUUCAGAACCCCACCAUCAGGUCCAGAUUAUAUUAUUAUAAUGUUAUUAUCUAUAUUAUGACAUGCUGAUAUAAACUAACGAACAUAAAUGAGAAGAAACAGAAUACUGAUCUUUACAAUGCAACAAAACAAAUCCAUUAUGUUUAUGAAAUAGUCUUCUCUGAAAUAUUUAAAUGUUUUAUAGUUUAAUAGUGACUCUAAUUGAAAUGAAUGUUACAGUUAUGAAAAUAUAGGAAACAUCCAGUUAUUAUUUAGAAAUCUGUCUGUUGGUCUUGUGAAGACCCAGAUACAGUAUGUUUGAGAGUAGAUAGUGAUUGGUUAACUGUAGAGGCCCCUCCCUCUGGUCCUCCCUGGCUUGGUGAUUGGUUAACUGUAGAGGCCCCUCCCUCUGGUCCUCCCUGGCUUGGUGAUUGGUUAACUGUAGAGGCCCCUCCCUCUGGUCCUCCCUGGCUUGGUGAUUGGUUAACUGUAGAGGCCCCUCCCUCUGGUCCUUCCUGGCUUGGUGAUUGGUUAACUGUAGAGGCCCCUCCCUCUGGUCCUCCCUGUCUGUCUCCUUAUAGGUGGGUCCUGCAGCCUCUCCUCUCCUCACACUCCAACCCUGCUCAUCUCUCAGCUGGACAGUAAGGGCCGUUCACACCUCACACUGACAACAUGCUGGGGACACUCUGCACUCUCAUCACUGCUCUAACAUGUGUCAGUGGUGUGACUGUGGUGACACAGAAGCCUCCUGUUGUGACGGUGAGGAAAGGAGAGACGGCCUCUCUGGACUGGAACCUGGGGACUGUUGAUAAUAGAGACGGACACUCUGGACUGUAUCCUGGGGACUGUUGAUAAUAGAGACAAACACUCUGGACUGUAACCUGGGGACUGUUGAUAAUAGAGACGGAGACUCUGGACUGUAACCUGGGGACUGUUGAUAAUAGAGACGGCCACUAAGGACUGUAACCUGGGGACUGUUGAUAAUAGAGAAGGCCACUAAGGACUGUAUCCUGGGGACUGUUGAUAAUAGAGACUAGGUCCAUUAUGGACUGUAACCUGGGGACUGUUGAUGAUAGAGACCACCAUUAUGGACUGUAACCUGGGGACUGUUGAUGAUAGAGACCAGGUCCAUUAUAGACUGUAACCUGGGGACUGUUGAUGAUAGAGACCACCAUUAUGGACUGUAACCUGGGGACUGUUGAUGAUAGAGACCAGGUCCAUUAUGGACUGUAACCUGGGGACUGUUGAUGAUAGAGACCACCAUUAUGGACUGUAACCUGGGGACUGUUGAUGAUAGAGACCACCAUUAUGGACUGUAACCUGGGGACUGUUGAUGAUAUAGACCACCAUUAUGGACUGUAACCUGGGGACUGUUGAUGAUAUAGACCACCAUUAUGGACUGUAACCUGGGGACUGUUGAUGAUAGAGACCAGGUCCAUUAUGGACUGUAACCUGGGGACUGUUGAUGAUAGAGACCACCAUUAUGGACUGUAACCUGGGGACUGUUGAUGAUAGAGACCACCAUUAUGGACUGUAACCUGGGGACUGUUGAUGAUAGAGACCACCAUUAUGGACUGUAACCUGGGGACUGUUGAUGAUAGAGACCACCAUUAUGGACUGUAACCUGGGGACUGUUGAUGAUAGAGACCACCAUUAUGGACUGUAACCUGGGGACUGUUGAUGAUAGAGACCACCAUUAUGGACUGUAACCUGGGGACUGUUGAUGAUAGAGACCACCAUUAUGGACUGUAACCUGGGGACUGUUGAUGAUAGAGACCACCAUUAUGGACUGUAACCUGGGGACUGUUGAUGAUAGAGACCACCAUUAUGGACUGUAACCUGGGGACUGUUGAUGAUAGAGACCACCAUUAUGGACUGUAACCUGGGGACUGUUGAUGAUAGAGACCACCAUUAUGGACUGUAACCUGGGGACUGUUGAUGAUAGAGACCACCAUUAUGGACUGUAACCUGGGGACUGUUAAUGAUAGAGACCACCAUUAUGGACUGUAACCUGGGGACUGUUGAUAAUAGAGACGACCACUCUGUACUGUAACCUGGGGACUGUUGAUAAUAGAGACGAACACUCUGGACUGUAACAUGGGGACUGUUGAUAAUAGAGACCACCAUUAUGGACUGUAACCUGGGGAUUGUUGAUAAUAGAGACGAACACUCUGGACUGUAACCUGGGGACUGUUGAUAAUAGAGACGAACACUCUGGACUGUAACAUGGGGACUGUUGAUAAUAGAGACCACCAUUAUGGACUGUAACCUGGGGACUGUUGAUAAUAGAGACAAACACUCUGGACUGUAACAUGGGGACUGUUGAUAAUAGAGACCACCAUUAUGGACUGUAACCUGGGGACUGUUGAUAAUAGAGACCACCAUUAUGGACUGUAACCUGGGGACUGUUGAUAAUAGAGACGAACACUUGUCGUGGAAGAUUCAGAAUUUGUUGGUAACAUAUGUAAGAUGUUUUAUAUUCAUCAAAUGUGUGUAAGUUACUUCUCAUCAGAAUGGUAUUUUUGUAUAAUACUGUGGCGGGGUUGCAGUUAUCUGUUCUAUGUCAAGACUAAGUUGCAUGGGCCGCAGAGAGGGGAGAGGUCAAAGUGUCAUCAUGUGUAAACAUAUCUUUUACUCCCUACCUUUUUCUAGUGGGGAAAGGAGGGUUGCAGUGUCUGGGAUCAUUCUCAUGCUCCCUUUUAUCUUAACCUAUAGCCUCAUUCUCCUCUCCGUGAGUUUGUAUUUAGAGUUGGUUGUAUCUAAAUGACCAUUUGAUAUAUGCCUGUUGAUAUGGAGGAUUGGUUUAUGGUUCUGAGUUUGAGAAAGGAGACAAAGCUGAACAAUGAAUUAUGCCGAUGCUGUUUUAUCCUGUGUAUCUUUGCUAUAAAGGAUCCCAUUUUGCCGUUAUGGGGGGACUCUCAACUUUUCAUUAGAGAUACUGAACUGUUGAAAGUCAAAAUGCUAUAGAGCUGAUAUAAUUAAAGAUGGACUUUGAUAACUAA